rnacentral:rRNA from 1 species
CCUACGGGAGGCUGCAGUAAGGAAUAUUGGUCAAUGGACGAAAGUCUGAACCAGCCAUGCCGCGUGGAGGAUGAAGGUCCUCUGGAUUGUAAACUUCUUUUAUAUGGGACGAAAAAAGGCCUUUCCAGGUCGUCUGACGGUACCAUAUGAAUAAGCACCGGCUAACUCCGUUCCAGCAGCCGCGGUAAUACGGAGGGUGCCGGCGUUAUCCGGAUUCACUGGGUUUAAGGGGUGCGGGGAUGGCAUGGGUGAAAUCCCCGAGCUUAACUUGGGAACGGCCAUUGAUACUAUCAGUCUUGAAUACCGUGGAGGUCAGCGGAAUAUGUCAUGUAGCGGUGAAAUGCUUAGAUAUGACAUAGAACACCAAUUGCGAAGGCAGCUGGCUACACGAGUAUUGACACUGAGGCACGAAAGCGUGGGGAUCAAACAGGAUUAGAUACCCCGGUAGUC